GAGUAUUUUUUGGCAGUUACCGUUGAGGAAAUACCGAUAUGAUGUGCAUAUGCCCUAUUUAUCUUAAUACCUUUCUAUUUUCCUAGGACAUAUUCUGCACUGUUUAUUUGGUGUGACGUCAUAAAGUAUUCAUAUCUAUAUGUUACCCAAUUAAUAAUUCCAUGAAAAGAAAAUACCAUGAGCACAGUUUUCAGAUCACAAAUGAAAGUAAAAUGUCGGAUUUCGAAUUUGAGAUAGAAUUUUUGAACCCAUCAAACACCUUCCAAGGGGAAGUUUUGGAGGGAAAGAUCAUUAUAUCCCUGGAUGAACCUAUGACAAUGUCACGUGUGACUAUAGCGUUCCAUGGGAAUGCUAGCGUAUCCUGGGUCGAGGGAACUGGAAAAGAGAAGCAAAGGAGAAAGGAUGAAGAAACCUUACUUAAAGAGGAAAUCACUGUGUUCAACGGACCAGAGUUAGGAAUUGGAUUACAUGACUUACCUUUUACCUUUCCCUUACCUACUGACCUUCCUUCAUCAUUUGAGGGAUCAAAUGGAAGCAUUCUAUACUAUGCUGAGGCUGUAAUAGUGAGGAGCUGGAGAAGAGACCCAAGCGUCCGAGAAGGCUUCACGGUGAAUGCCAGAUUAGACCUAAACAAGGUGCUGGACUGUAAACUUCCUGGAGAAGCAAGGGAUUCUAAGAUGUUUUGUUGUCUGUGGUGCAAGUCUGGUCCUCUCUCUGCCUUUAUAACAACAGAUAGGCAGUGUUUAUGAAGUCCACAUAUUUUUAAAAUAGAUUUUAAAUGUUUCACACAUGCAAUCUUUGCUUUUAAUUCAGUCAUAAUUUUUUCUUUUUGAUAAAAGAAAAGAAUUAAGGUUUAAUGUAAAAUUACUUUGCAUAUCUGUUUAAGUCUGGGUUUUUUACUUUAUGUUUGAAUUAAUUUAAUAAAAUUUUGGAAAAAAAGAAAUCGGAAGAAAAGUUUGGAGAUCCUGCUGAAACCACCAUAAAAAAAAUACAAACCUAAGGCUGUAAAAAAAUGAAAAAAGUCCCCGGGAAAAAACGUUACAAAGUAAUAAAAUCUUAGCCACAAGCUAAAAUAUGUUAAUCCUUCCUUAUAUCUUUGCAACCUGAUAAUUUAAAUCUGAGAUAUUUCAAACUUUAUUUUUUUUUAACUAAAAAUAUGCUUUUAAACAUUCGGCAAAAAUGUUACUGUCUGGCUCAUAACUGAAAAUAUAAUGUUGAUUUAUGAAUAUAAUUUUGAUAUGUUGAUCUUUAUAUCCUCUGCCUAUAGAAAGGGUUAUGUACCUGGUGAAUCCAUAAUAUUCUCUGCAGAGGUGGACAAUAUAUCAAACAAGGAAAUGCUUUACACAACUAUAGUGCUGAAGAAGACAAUAAUCUAUAUAGAUGGACGUCACCAGAAGAUUGGCUUUGACAAUAUUUAUGAACUGAAGGGAGAACCCAUAUGCCCUGGAGGUUCUGAUUCCUGGAACAAGGUUUUGAUAAAAGUGUCAGAUUUGCCUCCGUCUAACUUCGGGGGUUCAUGUAAGAUUAUAAAGCGGCAGUAUAGCCUAACUCUUACUGUGACUCCAUCAGCAGUUUUUGCAAUCCCUUUGAAUUUGGAUUUGCCGAUCACUGUAGGAACUGUUCCUCUUCAAUCCUCAACCAAAUCCAAGAAAGAAACUAAACCAUCUCAACCUUCUGCAAUAAAAGAACCUGCUACGAAUCUACCAGGAUCCUUGCCAUAACCUGCAGGAUAAGGUUCAGAUUAAAGUUUAUACUUUGUUGGCAUUGAGCAAUCAUACACAUCUGUCUGCCGAUCAAGGUUUAUAAACAACAAUGUACAGAUACUCGGGACGCGCUUCAAUGUACUGGAAAUGUCCUCCUCAUAGCAAAUGGACACAUAAUUAGGGAUGUUAACGUUUUCAUUUUUAUGAAAAAAGAUCGUU